CAAAAUAUAUGUCGCAGCUCAUCAACGUUGUUUGGCUCUGUUACGAACAGUCUCUGUUGAACAUUUACUUCUUCUCAACGCUUUUUCGUGUACAUUACAUUUUAUUGUUUCCGACUGUUAAUUGGAACGUAUUGUUGUGAUACGAAUUAAUUGAAAAGUUUGAGUUUCAUUUUGGUAGUACAUAAAGUCAAUAUCCGAGUAAUCACGGUGCCGAAUGUGACAAAAAUGGUGGUCAAUAAAAUAGGGCCUUCAGUGACUAAAGUCAGCUAAGAUUCAGUUUUGUAUCUCGGCUAAAAAUGAUCGCACAGAUAUCGGCGAGUGCUCAUUUUAAUAUAGUGUUUUAAGCCAAAUACAGUUAACGAUGUUCCUCCCGUGCCGACGUCCGCGAUGUUUAAGUAAGCCGUGCCAUAUGCUAAUUGGUACCAUCUCACGGAUAAUUCAACGGAAAUCUAUCCAGAAGAUAGGCGCCGUACAGAUUGGUACGUGAGGCCGAUCUUCUAUGAGGACGAACUUCAGAGCCGGCCAUCACUUUUUGAAGCAAGAAUGGAUCGGCGCCAACGAUGGAUUCCAUCAUUGCUGUACAUCUUGAAUUAGUUAGCAUUCAUUUACGUAGUCGCAAAUCCAUUGAUUUUCUGAAGAACGAGUAAGGAACUAAGUUUUAAAAUUGUCAUCGUCGAAAUCUUGGAAUAAGUACUCGACAACUUUAUCCAAAGAAACCAAUGGACUAAACAAGUCUGGCAUCGUCUCAUGGCACAACUUUGACCGAACUCCGUUCAACGAAAAGUUAAAACUGUUCUUACGCUCAACUAGUUUUAGGUAUUACCGCUUUUUGACGCUACCGAAUUUUCCCUAACUUGUUGAUUUCCCUAUCUGGCGCGGACCGGGCCUUUGCGCCAAUCAACUCAAGGUUAUCUCUUAGUUCGACUGUAGUCCUUCAACAUCGCGCCGCACUUGCCUGACCGUUAAACCUUGAGAAUGGCGUUUGGUUGUAUUCAUCGCGGACUUUACAACAACGCUUAAUCGCUUGAUUGGGUAUCUUUAUAAGUUGGAUUUACAACGUGUCACAGUAAAAUAAAACGUAUAAGUAAACGAUGAGCAUUGAAAAAUUCUACUGUACUUUUUCGAUCACUUCAAAUCGAAGAUACAUUAAAAUCAGUGCUAAACGAAGUCAUUAUGUCUUAUCAAUGAUGAAUUUAUUAUCAGUCGAGUACGCCCCUCGAAAGAUUGACACAGAUAAGAAAGUUCGUGAUAUUCUAAUGAAAAACAACAAGCUUUUGAAACAUCACAACAUGCUUUACACGCUGACGAGGGUGGUUUAUUUAUUUAUUUUCAUAUCGCGAGUGAUAGCUAAAUUUUCAAGCUUAAAAUGACCAAGAUAAUUGAUUUAAUCUCACUUAUUUUUGCGCGAUCAAGCGGCAGCAGGAGUACCAAUAAAAUUUUAAAAAGGAAUGGAUAUGUCGAUGGUCAAACUACGAGAUGUAAAAAUAGCAUACGCAGAUAUUUAAGUUCUAUGAUGUUUUUUCGAUUCGAUUAAUAAAACAUGAGAAAUCUUUUGGUAGUAAUUUUAUGAGAUAACCACUGAAACAAUAAAGCAACGCAUUCAAUUGACGAUGAAAGUGUAGUUUAAGGAAGUUUUAACGAAGAGAUGAUUCAAUCAGGCGUGACAAUUUUUUUACGCGCGAAUGACAUCCAAGUGCGUUUUGUAUUAUUCUUUUACAAACUGCUACUGAAAAUUAAAGAAUGCAAAUUUUUAACAUUUGAAUGAUUUAAUUCAAACAUUAAAAUUAAGCGAUUUCUUAGAAUUACACAAAUGACACAGAUAAUAAGUCGAUAUAAGUUGGUUCGAUCGAUAUCAUCAGUUUCCAGUGGUACGUGGAAUUACUUUAGUGGAAUCCCAGGAGACGUUACGCUGCCAAUUGAUAUCCGAAUAAAACUAUUGUUCCAAGCAUUUGUUUGUAUUGCUUAAUUAUCACAGGAAAGUUAUUGUUACAGUGGAGCACUUUGAACGGCAGCAGGAUGAAGGCUUUGGAAGCCCUGUUUGCGACUCUAUUCGUCUGGCUGAGUCUGUACGAGCUGCCGACUUGCGAGGCUCAGUACAUCACGAUUUUGAAGAACAUCGGCACGGUCAUCGACUUGUCGAUGAAGGCGCGC